CCCUUAGAUGUUCUGGGCCGCACGCGCGCUACACUGAUGCAUUCAACGAGUUUCUUCCUGGUCCGAGAGGAAUGGGUAACCUUUUGAAAGUGCAUCGUGAUAGGGAUAGACUAUUGCAAUUAUUGGUCUUCAACGAGGAAUUCCUAGUAGACGUAGUUCAUCAGACUGCAUCGAUUACGUCCCUGCCCUUUGUACACACCGCCCGUCGCUCCUACCGAUUGAAUGCUCAGGUGAGCCAUUCGGACUUUCAUCAUGCUGGUUUCCAGUUUUGAUGAAGGAAAGUCUUGCGAACCUUAUCAUUUAGCGGAAGGAGAAGUCGUAACA
rnacentral:rRNA from 1 species